UGAUCCACACUCCGGAACAGAAGAGGGCGGUAAUGCACCAAUAAACUCGAUACCAACCGCCGUUAAUCUCGAAAGAAGACGAAUAUGACAGCUUGCUGUGAAAGACAACGGGACAGAUGAGACACAUGUGUGUUUAUCUGCUGUAGAGACACUGAUGAAGGAAUGCUGCCAUCAAAAAGGAUUUAUCUUUCAUGGUGGAGCAGGACCUGCAAGGAAAGGUGAAAAAAAGGGAAAACCUGAAACAAAAGAAUAAAUUAAUGACUUUUUGUAUUGUGUAUGUGUAUUUUUGUAGGACAUGAAAAUGUCUGUAGACUGGUGUGUGCACUGAGGAUGGAGAAGACCAAAGCAUCAUCCUGGAAAUGAUCGAGAGUCACAGAUGAGACGCUCCCUCACUCCACCUGCCCUUUACUGUCUCAUCAGGACCAGAUGCUGCUAGGGCUGCUCCGAUCA